rnacentral:lncRNA from 1 species
AUCGGAGACCCCAAAAUCCUCAGCACAGGAGAAAGAGCUACAAAGAGAGAAUGGAGCAAGGCAGGUCCCAGAGCACUGGUUGUGCUGCUGAGUGUGUGCCAGCGGUGUCAGCUGCCUUACAGCAGCACCUCAGCUACUUCUUCUGCCCUCUGAAUACUUGGGUGAAAAUGACCAAGAUACAAACGGCCCAGGGUGCUCCUGGAAGAGGAAAAGCCAAUUUGUGUUGCUUGAAUGAAGAGGCUGAGGAUAGUGGCCGAGUGUCUGCAUUCAUGUCCUGGGAAAGCAGUUGGAGAUUGAUCCUGAUUUGGUCACCCACUGAUGAGCUAAUUUUUAACACCAACCAUGAACAUCUCACUGCUGGAAUUGCGGUGUGCCCAGUCCUCAGCAAGCAUGUGAGCGAGCGAAUCACUCCAGCAGUGUGGAUCGUUCUUCUGCACCCAUUGUUAUGGAAAUCGCCUUAGAGACUGUUGCUCCAGCAAACAUUUUUAGAAGCACGACAAUUAACUACAAACAAUUGCUUCUCUUGAGUUUGCUCAUGCUCCUCAUCACUGCCUGCUGUGGAGCAGGACCAGCUCUCCAGCCUGUGCCCAGGAGCCCCAAGCAGCCUCAGCUGAUGGAAGGGGAAAGGCACAGAUCCAGUGACCUUUGUUUGCCUCACUGCUGCCACAGUCCCUGCCUGACAUUUGAGGAGUGCUGUAAGUGCUGGAGGGGCCAUGGGGAUGGGGUAUUGGGCAAUGCACGUGAACCUCAUCCUUGCUGGUGGAAUACCAGGCUGAGCUGUGACCCUUCCCUUCCCUCUCAGGAAGUCAGAGUUGACUUUCACAGUGGUAUCUCACCAGGAACCAAGAGCAGGGCACUUCCUGCAGCUCCCUGCUGCCCGGGCAGAGGGACUGACCACAGUUUGUUUGUUCCCAGGACUGUUUUACUGCCCACAGCAAUGGAGCUGGAGCAGGGUGGGCUGUCUGGCUCUGUGGGAUGUUAUACUGCUCGCUGCCAGUGCCAUGAGAUAGGACAAGAGGGAGCUGAUCUGGGAGGGGACAUUGUCAUCCCAGGGGAGAUGCUGGCAAUCAUGAGGUGGUGGCUGUUAAACACUGACCUGUCGGGCCCCCAGCUUGAGCCUGGCUGCUCCCUGGCACCUCCCUGCAGUGCCUGGGGUGGGAAAGGACAGCUCCAUCCCAUGCCUGCCUCCUUUGGCUUUUGCAAGCUGGCUGGUCUUAAUUUCUCCAGGCACUUCCUGCAGGACCACAGUGCUGGGUGCUGCAGAUGUGCUUGAAGACACUGAACACCCUGACCCUUCUGCUGGUAAGCUUCUGUCCAGCUUUGUAGGCAGUGCAGCUGAAAGGGUGUUUUUCUUCCCUGAACCUGGCAAACCCUUUAUCCCAAGGAUCCUUGGCAGUGUUAACUCCCAAACCUCAACCCUCAACAGCCAGAAGCAUGAGAUUAGCAUAAACCCCAAUUUUCUUUUGAUAAAUAAAAUUUGGGGGGCAGGGGGGGGAUGAGAAAGG